AAUAGAUACCCGGGUAGUCCACGCCGUAAACGAUGGAUGCUAGCUAUUGGGGGGAAUCGACCCCCUCCGAAGCGAAGCUAACGCGUUAAGCAUCCCGCCUGAGUAGUACGAGCGCAAGCUUAAAACUCAAAGGAAUUGACGGGGACCCGCACAAGCGGUGGAGCGUGUGGUUUAAUUCGAUGGUAAACGAAGAACCUUACCAAGGUUUGACAUCCCGGUAGCCGUUCUCCGAAAGGAGAAUUUCAUUUAGUUGGACCGGUGACAGGUGAUGCAUGGCCGUCGUCAGCUCGUGUCGUGAGAUGUUGGGUUAAGUCCCGCAACGAGCGCAACCCUUAUGAUUUAGUUGGAUUUUUCUAAACAGACUGCCCUGGUAACAGGGAGGAAGGAGGGGAUGAUGUCAGGUCAGUAUUUCCCUUACACCUUGGGGCGACGACACGCGCUACAAUGGCCGGUACAAUGGGCAGCUAAGCCGCGAGGUGGAGCAAAUCCCAUCAAAGCCGGUCCCAGUUCGGAUUGCAGGCUGAAACCCGCCUGCAUGAAGCCGGAAUCGCUAGUAACC
rnacentral:rRNA from 1 species